ACGAACGCUGGCGGCGUGCCUAAUACAUGCAAGUCGCACGCUUCUUUCCUCCCGAGUGCUUGCACUCAAUUGGAAAGAGGAGUGGCGGACGGGUUAGUAACACGUGGGUAACCUACCCAUCAGAGGGGGAUAACACUUGGAAACAGGUGCUAAUACCGCAUAACAGUUUAUGCCGCAUGGCAUAAGAGUGAAAGGCGCUUUCGGGUGUCGCUGAUGGAUGGACCCGCGGUGCAUUAGCUAGUUGGUGAGGUAACGGCUCACCAAGGCCACGAUGCAUAGCCGACCUGAGAGGGUGAUCGGCCACACUGGGACUGAGACACGGCCCAGACUCCUACGGGAGGCAGCAGUAGGGAAUCUUCGGCAAUGGACGAAAGUCUGACCGAGCAACGCCGCGUGAGUGAAGAAGGUUUUCGGAUCGUAAAACUCUGUUGUUAGAGAAGAACAAGGACGUUAGUAACUGAACGUCCCCUGACGGUAUCUAACCAGAAAGACACGGCUAACUACGUG
rnacentral:rRNA from 1 species